GACGAACGCUGGCGGCGUGCUUAACACAUGCAAGUCGAACGGAAAGGCCCUGCUUGCAGGAUACUCGAGUGGCGAACGGGUGAGUAACACGUGGGUGAUCUGCCCUGCACUUCGGGAUAAGCCUGGGAAACUGGGUCUAAUACCGGAUAGGAGCCAUUUUUAGUGUGAUGGUUGGAAAGUUUUUUCGGUGUAGGAUGAGCUCGCGGCCUAUCAGCUUGUUGGUGGGGUAAUGGCCUACCAAGGCGGCGACGGGUAGCCGGCCUGAGAGGGUGGACGGCCACAUUGGGACUGAGAUACGGCCCAGACUCCUACGGGAGGCAGCAGUGGGGAAUAUUGCACAAUGGGCGCAAGCCUGAUGCAGCGACGCCGCGUGGGGGAUGACGGCCUUCGGGUUGUAAACUCCUUUCGCUAGGGACGAAGCUUUUUGUGACGGUACCUAGAUAAGAAGCACCGGCUAACUACGUG
rnacentral:rRNA from 1 species